UACGUAGGGUGCAAGCGUUAAUCGGAAUUACUGGGCGUAAAGCGUGCGCAGGCGGUUUUGUAAGUCUGACGUGAAAUCCCCGGGCUCAACCUGGGAAUUGCGUUGGAGACUGCAAGGCUAGAAUCUGGCAGAGGGGGGUAGAAUUCCACGUGUAGCAGUGAAAUGCGUAGAGAUGUGGAGGAACACCGAUGGCGAAGGCAGCCCCCUGGGUCAAGAUUGACGCUCAUGCACGAUAGCGUGGGGAGCAAACAGG
rnacentral:rRNA from 1 species